UUUAAUACAUAUUGCUUUAGUUUUACAUGUGUGUAUAUAUAUACAUAUCUACCUUUCUAUUUAUCUAUCUAGAUUUAACUAAAGCAAAUUCCCAACUGCAAUCUUCAAAUAAGAGUUGUUUCUACCAAGAUAAAACCCAUUUCUUCAAAAUGCCCAGAUGAUUCUGACCCACCGACCACAAAUGAAGGGAUCAAUCACGUGCUUCCUUCCUUUCCCUUCUAAACUUCUCUGAGCGUCAAGAAAUUCUCUCUGAACAUAACUUGUAGGUUGGUUAUGGCCUGCGCUGGUGUAAUAUACCGCAAUUGCGCAAUGAGUCCAUCAGAGGUCCAGGAUGUUGUUGGGUUAUUUACUCAAAUCAUUUCCCCAUCUUGUCCUCCUGGAAAUGAAUUUAAACGAAUGUUUUCUGCAUAAACAGACUGUGAGAACUACAUCACCCUUUUCGAGAAGCAGAGAGAAGGUUGCUCGCCUGUGGGACCAAUGCUCGUCACCCUAGCUGCUGGAAUUUGAACAUGUGGGUCCAGAUGGUUUUCAAAGACUGUAAUUUCAGGGGAUUUUAAACAACACAUUCUUAUUCUGUAAUAGACGGCAUUUGAUCCUCAUUUGAUGUUGGUUCCUGGAAAAUCCCUACCUUUCAAAAUUCAUGAGAGGAUUUGAGUGGUAAUCUAAACAGCUGGUCAUUUUCCUGCUCAAUUCAUUUAAAUCCAGCCAAGAAAAAAUAAAAGGAAGAAAGAAAGAACA
rnacentral:lncRNA from 1 species